rnacentral:tRNA from 2 species
GGGGUGUUAGCUCAGCUGGUAGAGCAGUGGACUCUUAAUCCAUAGGUCCGGGGUUCGAACCCCCGACACCCCACCA